UACAGAGGUGGCAAGCGUUGUUCGGAAUUACUGGGCGUAAAGGGCGCGUAGGCGGCCAUCUAAGUCAGACGUGAAAUCCCCCGGCUUAACCUGGGAACUGCGUCUGAUACUGGACGGCUUGAGUAUGGGAGAGGGAUGUAGAAUUCCAGGUGUAGCGGUGAAAAUGCGUAGAUAUCUGGAGGAAUACCGGUGGCGAAGGCGGCAUCCUGGACCAUUACUGACGCUGAGGCGCGAAAGCUAGGGGAGCAAACGGG
rnacentral:rRNA from 1 species